UUCCUGACUCACCCAUUCAUCAGGUGGGGGCCUUGACGCUUUGGGAGCCCUUUUAAAGGACGUUGCCUGACACGAAAUCCUACAUGUCGUCAUUCCCUCUGCAGCAGCCUCCCCGAUUCGAGUUGGGGGUGUUUGCGUAUAAUUUCAGCUUCCUCCUCACCCUCCUCUGUCAUCUCCCCUUUUCAGUUUAUCUCCUGCACGAGCUUAAUUAAAGUGAGCCUUGUCUAUUGAUAGGCUGCAGUAAGUACAUGUGGCAUUUACGUUAAAACAUAUCGACCGAAAGAACGACGGUCUUCCACGAAGCACUUAAAUUGAUAGAGGCCACCCCGGUUGUGUGGAAGAGAAAAAGAGGCCUUGGUCUCAUCAGGACAGCCCGUUUAGAUCCUGCUAAAGCAGAAUAUAAAGUCAGGGACGUGGAUCUGCUCUUGAUUUAGCAGAUUGACCUAGCUGCCACACGAGGUCCUCUGUUUUUGGGUAUAUCACAGGCUGCAAGGAAAGACCCAGCUCUCCACUUACUAGAAACCAUCAUGAGUGUUACAUGACCAUUUUUCAAGUGGGAAAGGAAAAUACAUUCCUGAAAGCCAUAUGGUUAGGAUGAAAAUGUCUGCUGGCAGAGUAUUUUACACUUGAAUGGGAGAACCUGUUGGUACUAAAAACGAAACAACACUCCCCCGCCCGCAUUGAGAAGGAGAGAAAAAGCCAGCAGCAGGCAGAGAGGAGACCGAAUGGACCAGAAUGGUUGGACAGGGGAGUGAUCAACAUUCCUUAGGUUAACAUCGAUGUUAAGCCAGAAUAUCGAUCUUUUGAGGGAUGGGGCAUUUACCUGAUCAAACAGGCUGUUCAUUGCACAGAAUUUCUCUCUUGCUUCUUUUUAUUUAAUUCUUACUCAAGCAAGAAAUAAUUUCUUACCCCAAAGUAGACAUUGGUACAUAUUUUACCAGGCACAUCAUUGGGAGUGAAGCCUGGUAAAGCUCCACGUGAGUACACAGAGGUGCACUCUCAAGAGGGUAUGUAACCCAUCCAUGGCUUAAAAAAAUAAUAAAGAGAUCCUCCUGUCCUUUUGGAGAAAUUUACUCUUUCAGUGGAUAUAGUGCUCAUUUAGAACGGUUGACCUGUUGAUUUUUAACAUAGUUAUUGGUUUAAAGCAAUGGCUUAUUUUUAUGGGACCAUGUAGUGUCUCUGGAAAAUUAAAUUUUAGAUGUGUACCAUCUGUAAAAUCCAGGAUUUUCAGUGUGUUAUAGGAGUGUGUGAGCUGGUUAACCCAUUAUUAUGGAUCUUCAAAUUACUGAGAUACCAAAUAAAUGUCAUUUUGUAAUUUGAGUUUUUUAAAUAUUGAGAUUGACUUUCUUGUCAAAAAGAACUAUUUAAUAAUUGCUUGUUUAUACAUUAAGUCAAUUAAAGCUAGAAUCUUUAAGUUCUACUUAGUGUUUUUAUGUACUAUUUAUACAUUUUGUAAUUUGUAUAUAAAAAUAACUUUUGACUUUGUAUAAAAAUAGAAAUGAUGCUUUGACUUGUUCUUGAUGAAUAUUUAACUUAAUAAAUUUAACAGAGCAGACUCCCCCCAAACAACUAAUGGCAUCAAGUCCUUUAAACCUUCCAAACCACACUCCAGAUGCCCAACAGGACAGACUUGUAAAUCUCAUAAAAGGUAGAUGCUUAUACAAUCAAUCAAUAAAUCAGAAUUGUAAAUAUUGUCAAUCAUCACACUCUCAGACAAGUGUGAAUUGUCUGACGCUUUUGAAGUUACAGUCAAAUCUAGUAUUAUACAUUUAAAAUUUACAAAGUCAAGAUACUUCUCUUUUUGGCAAUAUGGCAGACCAAGAUAACUUGCAAAUCCUCUGUCCACAAGCACCUAGAAACGCAGCAACUUGUGUAAAAUAAAAAGCAAGCCCCUGCUGCCAGAAGUGAAGUAGAAGCCAGCAUGGUAGGCAUAGAGCUAACUUGCUUGCCCUGGAAGGGAGGAUGUAGGUCUCAUUAUUUGGAGACAUGGAGUUUAUUGUCCAAGUAACUGUCCAAGUAACUAAGGGCAGGAGACGAAGCCUUGAAACCGUUAGAGCCAUGUAAUGGGAUCUGAGACUGUUAUAUUAAACCUGGAUGUUUAAAGGACUAUAUCUUCAGUGAAAGAAUGAACUAGGAAAAAACUUUUAUACCAGUGUAAGAAAUAAAAAGGAAGCCUGGGCUCUGAGUAAGAAAAAAAAGUCUUUUCCUAGGAACUUGUAACCUGGGACUUGGACUUCAUACAGUUUGGGUGUGUAUUUAGACUAGUUAUGGGGUCCAGAAAACUUUAGCUAAGAAAUUAACAUAAAAAUUGGUUCUGGGAGUUCCUGAUGUGGCACAGGGUGUGGGUUUGAUCCCUGGCCCGGCGCAGUGGGUCAAGGAUCCAGGGUUGCCCCGGCUGUGGUGUAGUCGCAGCUGUGGUUCAGAUUCACUGCUUGGUCCGGGAACUUCCAAAUGCCAUGGGUGUGGCCAAAAAGAAAAAUUGUUUCUGGAUUGGCAAUAACCUUGGGGUUCCUUGUAGAGACAAAUGAAAAACCUUUUCUGAGGAAAUUUCAGAGGUCACGAAUCUUAGAGGAAAAAACAAGCCUCACAAAAGAUAAGUUCAUAGUAAAACAUUGCAGAAUUCUGGGAAUCAAAAUGAGAGUGACAAAUAGCUUUUGAACCUCUAGUGGUCUGAAAGCAAGUAUUUUUUAUGUUUAAAAUUAUUAAAAACCGGAGUUCCUGUCUCGGAUUCGUUAACCACUGCGCCGCUACGGGAACUCCUAAACUUUGAAUUCUUUACUGAAAUAAAAGACUAAGAAUAAGGGAGGGAGUUCUUUGUGGUGCAGUGAGUUAAGAAUCUGGCGUUGUCACUGCAGCGGCUUGGGUUGCUGCUGUGGCGCAGUUUUGAUGUCUGGCCCGGGAACAUCCACAUACCAUGGGCACUGCCAAAAAAUAAAAAAAUAAGAAAUAAAUCUGGAAGGGAAGAGUAAGGUAUAAAAAAUGUUAGAGGAAGCAAAUGCAGUAAAUAAAAGGUGUUGACUAGAACCUUGAAGGUUAAAAUGAUUACAUUUAGAGUUUUAUUUUUAAAGCAAAAGAGAUUUAUUAAGCUGAGGGCAUGGGCUAUACAUUUAAAGUUUGAAAGUAAAAUAGUAGGUGAAAGCUGUGAUUGGCAUUAUAGCAUCGAGGUUCCUAUAUUUCUAGUUGAAGUGGUUGAAGAUUAUUUUGAACUUUGUCAAGAAUGUAUGUUAAAAACAAUCUUUAAAUUAUGAAUGGUAACUUAUUAAAAGAACAGAAUUUGAACAUCAGACUUCUAAAGCAGUAGGGGGGAAAGUAAAGAAAAUCCAAUUGAAGGAAGUAAAGGAGUUGGGGGGGUGAAGACCCUAGUAAGUGGAGUCCAGUAUAGGCUGGUAGGAAUAAAUAAAAAGAGUAAUAAAAAUAGGAAAAAAUCAGUUGAGAGACAAAGGUUGAAAGGUUUUCACAUGGGAAAAAAUGAUCUAGAUACAUGUUUUCAGAAAUAACACACCUGGAGUUCCCUGGUGGCUCAGUGGCUUAAGGAUCUGGUAUUGUUGCUGUGGCUGGGGUUGCUGCUGUGGCUUGGGUUCAUUCCCUUGCCUGAGAACUUCCACAUGCCAUGGG
rnacentral:lncRNA from 1 species